ACGAUGAUCACUAGCUGUUUGCGAUACAGUGUAAGCGGCACAGCGAAAGCGUUAAGUGAUCCACCUGGGGAGUACGCCGGCAACGGUGAAACUCAAAGGAAUUGACGGGGGCCCGCACAAGCGGAGGAACAUGUGGUUUAAUUCGAUGAUACGCGAGGAACCUUACCCGGGUUUGAACGCAUUCGGACCGAGGUGGAAACACCUUUUCUAGCAAUAGCCGUUUGCGAGGUGCUGCAUGGUUGUCGUCAGCUCGUGCCGUGAGGUGUCGGCUUAAGUGCCAUAACGAGCGCAACCCUUGCCACUAGUUACUAACAGGUUAGGCUGAGGACUCUGGUGGGACUGCCAGCGUAAGCUGCGAGGAAGGCGGGGAUGACGUCAAAUCAGCACGGCCCUUACAUCCGGGGCGACACACGUGUUACAAUGGCGUGGACAAAGGGAUGCCACCUGGCGACAGGGAGCGAAUCCCCAAACCACGUCUCAGUUCGGAUCGGAGUCUGCAACCCGACUCCGUGAAGCUGGAUUCGCUAGUAAUCGCGCAUCAGCCAUGGCGCGGUGAAUA
rnacentral:rRNA from 1 species